UACGUAGGGGGCAAGCGUUGUCCGGAUUUAUUGGGCGUAAAGAGCGUGUAGGCGGCCAGGUAGGUCCGUUGUGAAAACUCGAGGCUCAACCUCGAGCUGUCGAUGGAAACCAUCUGGCUAGAGUCCGGAAGAGGAGAGUGGAAUUCCCGGUGUAGCGGUGAAAUGCGCAGAUAUCAGGAAGAACACCCGUGGCGAAGGCGGCUCUCUGGUACGGAACUGACGCUGAGACGCGAAAGCGUGGGGAGCGAACAGG
rnacentral:rRNA from 1 species